rnacentral:lncRNA from 10 species
CUGAGUUUUACAGCUUGUAGAACAAAUGCUCAGCAACGGCAUGCCUCCUGGCUACAGCCACAAGAGCCUUUGCCUUUGUUUCAGUAGAUUUACUAACGUGGGGAUGAGGGUAUGCUUGUGUCCUUACAGAAGAUGAACAAACCAUGUGGGUGCCCUCAAGGUGUGUAUGACCAUGGAAUGGGAGACUGGAAGGACCCAUGGAUCCCAACCAUGGACCUGGUUCCCCAGUAUGAGCCAUGAACCACUUGAAUUUGAAUGCGAAGAUGAAACGAGGACCAACCGGAGUCAUGCUGACAUCAACCCCGAUAACAUGGGGACAGAUCAGGAAAACCACACAGGAAGCUGAGAAACUGCUGGAGUGCCAGGGUUUCACCUUUUGCUGGAACUCAGAGGUUGGUGGACAGCCUGUGGAUAAAGUGAAGGUAAAUGCUGUCUAAAAUGAGGAGAGGACACACACAAACACACUGAAAAGAAGUCCGUCUGAAGGUGUAGACAGAGACUCAAGUCAUGUUGCCAAAGACCAAGGAAUGUCAAGGAUAUCUGGGAGUCAGCAGAAGGAGCCAAACAUCAUUUUGUGAGGACACACAGGUACUUCGAAGAAGCCAGUAGACAUUUUGUAGGACAUACAGGCAGCCGAUGGAGAGGCCCACAUAAUAAUGGCAGCCCCAGCUAACAGCUUGACUGUAACCUCAUGAGGACCCUGUGCCAGAACCAUGAGGCUAAGCUACUCCUGAUUCCUAACCCACAGAAACUGUGACAUAAUAAAUAUUUGUUAGCUUAAAUUGGGAAAUUUGGAUAGAAAGACAGACAUACAGACAAGGAGAACACCAUGAGAAGUUGGAGCUCUGCUGCCAUAUGCU